CUCAUUUUCACCUAGGGGACGUCACAGGUUUAAGAAGUAUUUGCUUGUAGAUUGUCCCUAAAGCACCAGGAGGUACUUCAUUGUCUCCACAUCAAGAAGAAAUUAUACUGCCUAUGAUAAACAAAUUGAAUAUUUCUAGCAAAUCCAAAAUCAUAUUAAAAUAGAAUCAGCUUCAGUAGAAAAAGUGGAGAGAUGCUCCAGAAAGGAUCCCCUAUGAUGUUUCCAAGGAGGACUUACAGCCCUAAGGACAGCUGUUUCUGGUGGUCACAUCCUGGAGGAAGAUGGGGAAUAGCAGUUCCCAGAUCCCAAGGCUGGCACUGACUCCAUGUGUCAUCUCGAGUGAACCAACUGCAAUCUGUGCUUCAGCUGAGUCACACCAAUUUCAAAUCAGACGUGAUACAGAAGGAAGGGAAAUAACAAUACAGAUGUAAGGAAUUCCUUGAUGCUUCUGGGAGACGCCCUGGUAAACCAGCCUGCCCUGAAUUUCCCACCAAAUGAAAGCAGUUACUUUUUGCCCACUUUUUGCAAACUUCAGAGGGCAGAAUGAUUUCAUCAGAUGCAUUUACUUGUCUGAUUUUGCUGCCUAGUGUCACACAGUGAGGUUUUCCGAGGUAUUGACUAUCACUUUAAAUUCUUCUCGCUUUGAGUCAUCCUAUCUUGUAUAUAAUUUGAACAGGUUUUUGUAUAAUUAUUUCUCUCAAUAAUUACCAUUAUACAAUUGCUAUAGCUGCCAGUUUUGUUUUUCUCUCCUGCCAGAGAACAGCAGAAAUGUAUUACACGUUAGUGUAACUUAUGAUCUCGGAUUCAUGUUUAAAAUGCAUGGAAUAUUUUUCAUCUUCUGUUUGAGGCAAUACCUCAUCUGGGAUCAUAUCUCACAGUGUAAGUUUACACUGAGUAAAUGGAUGUCUUGUACUGCAAAGGGGUAUAAUCCACAAUGAAAAAGAAAAAAGAUGCAAAAAAUAAAUAAAAUCUAAAUUUUUAAGGCAUUGGAGGGCCAGUGAAUAUUAAUGGCUACAGGUGGCACAUCUGGACAGUCAUGCAGAGAGGUUUGUGUAUGGUCUCCUUUCCCCUCUUGAAUAAAUUGGAUUUGGCCAUCA